rfam:Stegodyphus mimosarum contig82803, whole genome shotgun sequence.
GCCUCCGUGGUGUAGUGGUCAGCACGCUGGGCGCGUAUUCCAGAGUCCGUGGUUCGAGUCCCGGCGAAGGCG